rnacentral:rRNA from 2 species
CUGAGCUCAAAUCAGGUAGGACUACCCGCUGAACUUAAGCAUAUCAAUAAGCGGAGGAAAAGAAACUAACAAGGAUUCCCCUAGUAACUGCGAGUGAAGCGGGAAAAGCUCAAAUUUAAAAUCUGGCGGCUUUGGUCGUCCGAGUUGUAUCCUAGAGAAGUGUUUUCCGCGUUGGACCGUGUAUAAGUCUCUUGGAACAGAGCGUCAUAGAGGGUGAGAAUCCCGUCUUUGACACGGACUACCAAUGCUUUGUGAUACACUCUCAAAGAGUCGAGUUGUUUGGGAAUGCAGCUCAAAAUGGGUGGUAAAUUCCAUCUAAAGCUAAAUAUUGGCGAGAGACCGAUAGCGAACAAGUACCGUGAGGGAAA